rnacentral:lncRNA from 1 species
CAGAGUUAGCUUUCAUUGUCACCUGAUUUAACAUUAUUUCUGGAUAACCCAGAUUUGUUACAACACAACCAUCACAGAAAAUUGUGGUCUACCAUAUGUAAGAAAUUACCAAGACAACGCUAUAAAAUGUGCACCCUUAUUACACAAAAAUUGUGCCACUUGUCAGAAGGAAAUUAUGGAGAUGAAAAUAUGUGAACUGAAUUUAACCCUCAUGGGACUUGAACUCACGUGGGAACUUUCCAGCUAUCAAAACCCAAAUCUAGCAAGGCAAAACUGAUUAUAUUUGAAACCAGUAGACUAUAUAAUGAUCACACUUCUCUACUAACAUAUAUAACACCAAGAAAAUACAGUAUAUAGCGAAAUUGAAUCAUAAUGAAGUAUUACGUACAAAACGACAGAUCAACUAAUAGGCAAUAUAACAUUACUUCAUUGAAACUAUAAGACUACAUCACCCUUAUUACUCCAAUACUGAGAAAAAACAUUUGGAUGCAUAUGGAUGCCCCUUCCAUAAAUUGAUAAGUAAUGUGAGAUUUCCUCACCUUCAGAUGUGCGAAUUGCUUUCUCACCUUAUGUCUUCUGGCCAUUGCACUAAAGUUGCAUGGCUCAGAUUUGAGAGUUUCGUCAAAUAUCACAUUUGUAUGGUCCUCUAGUACAGUAGCUUCCCUUUUUUUGUCCCUAGCUUCCUUGCCCCCAGCAUAGAGUUCAGUGUAUCAUCAGAAAAUUCAGCUACAACAGUAUAGAACAUACAUGUGUAUAAGGCAUCAUACAGAUUGUGACUAAAAGAUUCAGAUUGUAUACCUAUAAUUGGCUAAGGAGCAUUUACCUACAGGAGAAAAUAAAGUAAUAUAAGAAGCGCAUUUUCUUUACUAAUUUGCAAAUUUUCAUAAAAGAAAGAGAAAAGGAUUAAUAAAAAAAUAGUGCAAAUCGGAAGCAUACCCAUGGUGAAAUGGUUGUUCAAUCCAACAACUAUCACAAAUGAUAGUUUUUUUCUCCCACUCACCUCUCACAUUCUUGACAGUUUCAAAUAAGAUCAUAUUACUAUAUUAUGAUAGCAGUAUGAGGAAACUGAAAUACAAGAAAGGUCCAUUGCUGAAAUGCUGUCACAGCCGAUCUAGGCAAAGAUUCCGAACAUGGUAUUUUUAUGAACUUCUAAUUUUCAAAACACGUAGAAACACUGGAUUAUAAGCUUAAAGAUUUAUAUUCCACGCAUAAAAGCUCUGGAUUCAUGACACUAUUUGCGUUUACCACUCGGGCAUAUAUUAGUUUACCAAUUUGCGAGAGAAACAAUGCGACCUUUUCAACUCACUACAAGCUGAGAUCAUAUUUGAUAGACGUAUAUACUCCUACAUGAGUAUAACAACCAGGUCCAGUACAUGACCCAUUAUUCCCACACAAAAACUAUUGAGUAUAGAAUUAGGCCUAUCGACUAUUUUGGAACUACACGAGGGAUGCUGCUGAGUUUUCAAUAUGACGAAUUAUGACAGAUCCGAAUCAACUGUAUCGACGCUAUUUCAAUACGACCCAACACAAGUUACACAACUGUGCAAUCACACUGCCAUGUCAAGAAAUAUAUAAGGCACAUGCAUGUACUAACUUUAUAAUACUGUGACGGCAAUGUAAUUAAGGAUUUAUAGAUAUAAAACAAAAAAGAAACACCCACAAAUCAUGUCAAGAUGGAAGGAAACAGUCACACUUGCUUUCCAGAUACAGCAGAUACCAAAAUACGACCAUAAUAUUGUUUGGCUAAGAACUAAUCUGAAUUCACAUAUGGUUUCUAUCCAUGUCCAACCCUCAGCUAAUAAAUCAUAUGCAUUGUCUUCUCAAGUGAAAGCAUGUCAUUAAGGGAAAUCAAUUGCGCAGUAGAAAGAUGUUCCUUUCUAUUCUUCCUCUGCUAUCUAACCCAGUAUCAAGCAAGUAAGUAUUUGACAUAUCCAGGCCACUCAAAUCAAGCAGCCUCCCAAUUUCUUGGUCAUGUAUUCCAAUCACUCCUCCUUAGAUACACAUCUGCUAUCAACACGAGGAUCCAUCCUCUUGUUCUCUACAACCAUCGCCAGCUGGUUUGCCUUCCUAGCUUCGUUUUGGUACACGCAUCACGUCAAACAGCAAGGAAAUAAUAAAUAUCCUAAACUGACCAACACCAGAUGAAUUAGUUUAACGCUCCUAACAGGAAGUCAACCAAACAGAUGAUUAGGACGCAGACAUCCCCUAUUGUUUUCAAAAUUAGAUAUGAAGAGGCAAGAUGAUACCUGAUUUGGUGUUGGAAAUCUUCUUAACCCAGUAUUCAGAGCAGUCAUGAUAGGUUCAUGGUGCCGUCCUUCGUCUGCUUCCACGAGUGGGGAAUUUCGGCGAGCACCCAACACACAC